rnacentral:sRNA from 1 species
UUUUCCCAAAACAACGAAAGCCCUACCUCUCUUCCGUCCUUGCGGCUCCAUUGACCGCGCCAGUGUGAAUCAGAAAAACAGUUGAAAC